rnacentral:lncRNA from 1 species
UUAUGAGAAGGUGAUUAACAAGGAGUUCGAGAUGGAAUAUGUUCCUUCUAAGUUACAAAUUGCAGAUAUUCUUACGAAGGCAUUACCUAGAGAUGAUUUAUGCAAAUUACAAGGCAAGCUUGGCCUUUACAGCAUCUAUAGCCAAGCUUGAGGGGGAGUGUAGAAUUAUAGCACAUAAUUAUGUAGUAUUAGACGUAGGAUUUGCAGAAUCAUAUCUAGCCUAAUUACCCUAAUUAGUAGCAGAAUAAUAUAGUAGGUUUGUAGGUAGGAUAAUCCCUGAUUUGUAGAGAUUAUCAAGAGACGAUUCUGCUCCUCUAGGAACAGUGUCUGUGUAUAUAUGUGUGUAUGGCAGUAGAACAGAAAUAACAAGCACAGAAUACAUGAAUAUUCUGUUUCUAUACAACUGACUCUUAAGGUUAAUUACAGGCAGAAAAAUCAAUACAACAGUUAGUCAGUACAUAAGAUGCAAGCAAUUAGUUGAACAUAAGUAAUAAAAACUCAAAAGAAAUGACAAUAUACAGAAAAAUUAUGAGAUUGCUCGAAGAAAGUAACAAACUAACCUCUCACG